GAAUAUUGGUCAAUGGAUGGAAGUCUGAACCAGCCAUGCCGCGUGCAGGAAGAAGGCCUUCUGGGUUGUAAACUGCUUUUGCCAGGGGAUAAAAAUUGCAUGCGUGGAAAAUUGAAGGUACCUGGUGAAUAAGCACCGGCUAACUACGUGCCAGCAGCCGCGGUAAUACGUAGGGUGCAAGCGUUGUCCGGAUUUAUUGGGUUUAAAGGGUGCGUAGGCGGCCCUGUAAGUCAGUGGUGAAAUACUCCAGCUUAACUGGAGGGGUGCCAUUGAUACUGCAGGGCUUGAGUUAAGUUGAAGUUGGCGGAAUUGACGGUGUAGCGGUGAAAUGCUUAGAUAUCGUCAAGAACACCGAUAGUGAAGACAGCUCACUAAACUUUUACUGACGCUGAGGCACGAAAGUGUGGGGAUCAAACAGG
rnacentral:rRNA from 1 species